rnacentral:rRNA from 1 species
ACAAGCAGCGGAGCGUGUGGUUUAAUUCGAUGCAACGCGAAGAACCUUACCAAGGCUUGACAUGCCAGAAGUAGGAAACUCGAAAGAGAGACCACCUGUAUCCAGUCAGGAACUGGCACAGGUGCUGCAUGGCUGUCGUCAGCUCGUGCCGUGAGGUGUUAGGUUAAGUCCUGCAACGAGCGCAACCCUCGUCGCUGUUAAAUUUUUCUAGCGAUACUGCCCGUAAAACGAGGAGGAAGGUGGGAUGACGUCAAGUCAGCAUGGCCCUUACGCCUUGGGCUACACACACGCUACAAUGGGUGAUACAACGGGUUGCGAGAGAGCGAUCUGGAGCUAAUCCCUAAAAUCGUCCUCAGUUCGGAUUGCAGGCUGAAACUGCCUGCAUGAAGUUGGAGUUGCUAGUAACCGCAGGUCAGCACACUGCGGUGAAUACGUUCUCGGGCCUU